rnacentral:lncRNA from 1 species
AUGUGAAAGGCAAACAUGAGAGGCUACGGGGAAGAGAAAGGGUGAUUUCCAUAUAACUGCUAUGAUGACCUCUGAAGUAUUUGUGUUUUUAAGAUAGUUGCACUAAACUCUGGAAAUUCAGAGUUAAAAGAAAAGCUCAUGAAAGAUGUUAAGUCUGCAUAAUGAUGGUCACGGCUGUCUCAUGGUGGUGAAUGAUAACUUUUACACCAUAAUCACCUGCUCUGAGGUUUAAUGAAGCAAGUUAACUGUAAACGGAUGGACUUCACAGGUCUGCCACAGGAAGGAAGGUAUCAUGCUCGCCAGCCCUCGGGUGUGCAGUAUUCUCAAAGAGCUGACAAUGUACAUGCUGGAACUUCUCAGCCAAGCCAGAUGCGUACAGAGAAGAUAAACAGAAGCAGCAAAUGUCUCAAUGUAUGCACUCGGUGA